AUGUAGGACGGUUCCAAGCCCACCUCGGAGAUAAAGAACUCAGACCUACGCUGCAUCGGUCCACGUGAAGGUGCUCUUCAGGUACUCCACUCUGGCUGUAAUCUCCGCCUCGCUCAUGAACGCAACGGCAUGCAGCGCGUGCCUGAACAUCCCAGAACCACGGGGCACACCUAUGUUUUCGGCGCAUGCCACCAUCGCCUGGAGAUGCUGCAGGUUGGCGGUGAUCAUCCUCGGUCUUUGGAUGCACAGCUUGGCAAUAUCGCAAGCACCUAA
rnacentral:rRNA from 1 species